rnacentral:ncRNA from 2 species
GGACGCACCUCUGGAGAGACCGUAAAGGCGCCGAAGGGGCAAAUGAAUGGUUCCGUAGAGGACGAUUCAGAAAUCUCUCAGGCAAAAGGACAGAGAAGUGUUU